CCCUUAGAUGUCCUGGGCCGCACGCGCGUUACACUGAUGCAUUCAACGAGCUUAUAACCUUGGCCGAGAGGCCUGGGCAAUCUUGUUAACGUGCAUCGUGAUAGGGAUAGAUUAUUGAAAUUAUUAAUCUUGAACGAGGAAUUCCUAGUAAACGCAGAUCAUCAAUCUGCAUUGAUUACGUCCCUGCCCUUUGUACACACCGCCCGUCUCACCUACCGAUUGGAUGGUCCGGUGAAGCCUCGGGAUUGUGGUUCUUGCCGCUUUAUUGUGGCGUGACCGCGAGAACUUGUCUAAACCUUAUCAUCUAGAGGAAGGUGAAGUCGUAACA
rnacentral:rRNA from 1 species